rnacentral:rRNA from 1 species
GCUGCCACCUUUCUUCGUGCCUAAUACAUGCAAGUCGAGCGAACGGACGAGAAGCUUGCUUCUCUGAUGUUAGCGGCGGACGGGUGAGUAACACGUGGAUAACCUACCUAUAAGACUGGGAUAACUUCGGGAAACCGUAGCUAAUACCGGAUAAUAUUUUGAACCGCAUGGUUCAAAAGUGAAAGACGGUCUUGCUGUCACUUAUAGAUGGAUCCGCGCUGCAUUAGCUAGUUGGUAAGGUAACGGCUUACCAAGGCAACGAUGCAUAGCCGACCUGAGAGGGUGAUCGGCCACACUGGAACUGAGACACGGUCCAGACCCCUACGGGAGGCAGCAGUAGGGAAUCUUCCGCAAUGGGCGAAAGCCUGACGGAGCAACGCCGCGUGAGUGAUGAAGGUCUUCGGAUCGUAAAACUCUGUUAUUAGGGAAGAACAUAUGUGCAAGUAACUGUGCACAUCUUGACGGUACCUAAUCAGAAAGCCACGGCUAACUACGUG